UACGUAGGGUGCAAGCGUUAUCCGGAUUCAUUGGGUUUAAAGGGUGCGUAGGAGGGCAGGUAAGUCAGUGGUGAAAUCUCCAAGCUUAACUUGGAAACUGCCGUUGAUACUAUCUGUCUUGAAUGCUGUGGAGGUAAGCGGAAUAUGUCAUGUAGCGGUGAAAUGCUUAGAUAUGACAUAGAACACCUAUUGCGAAGGCAGCUUACUGCGCAGAGAUUGACGCUCAUGCACGAAAGCGUGGGGAUCAAACAGG
rnacentral:rRNA from 1 species